UAACUCUCAACAAUGGAUCUCUAGGCUCUUGCAUCGAUGAAGAACGCAGUGAACUGCGAUAACUGGUGUGAGUUGCACGCAUCUCUAAUCUAACACCAAGCGAAUCAUCGAGUCUUUGAA
rnacentral:rRNA from 1 species